CUCAGCUCCACCAGGCGAGACUCGACUUUGACCAGCUUUUGAACCGCAUUCAGGCUGCCAACCUCAGCAUCUCCGAUGCAGACUCUGUAGACUUGAUUAAUCUUCUUACUAAGAUUGCACGCUUCUGCUCAGGAAGAAGAGAGUCGCCACACAGUCCACACAGUCAAGGAAACCCCACCCGAGGCCAAUGGGACUCGCCCCGCUGGGGAGACACCUCCUGGAACCACAAGUGCCUCAGAGAGCCGCCAUUGGCCAUUGCUUAAAGGCCUCAGGCUUCCAACAGCUUGUCGCUCUGCCUCCUGCUUUAAUAAAUGUUCUGAAGAUCCUGUU